CGAGCGUUGUUCGGAAUUACUGGGCGUAAAGGGCGCGUAGGCGGCCUGCUAAGUCAUACGUGAAAUCCCUCGGCUCAACCGAGGAACUGCGUCUGAUACUGGUUGGCUUGAAUUCGGGAGAGGGAUGCGGAAUUCCAGGUGUAGCGGUGAAAUGCGUAGAUAUCUGGAGGAACACCGGUGGCGAAGGCGGCAUCCUGGACCGAGAUUGACGCUGAUGCGCGAAAGCCAGGGGAGCAAACGGG
rnacentral:rRNA from 1 species